CAACGAGCGCAACCCUUGUCNUUAGUUGCCAGCACGUAAUGGUGGGAACUCUAGGGAGACUGCCGGUGACAAACCGGAGGAAGGUGGGGAUGACGUCAAGUCAUCAUGGCCCUUAUGGGCUGGGCUACACACGUGCUACAAUGGCAAGUACAGAGGGUCGCAAACCCGCGAGGGGGAGCCAAUCCCACAAAGCUUGUCCUAGUCCGGAUUGCAGUCUGCAACUCGACUGCAUGAAGUCGGAAUCGCUAGUAAUCGUGGAUCAGCAUUGCCACGGUGAAUACGUUCCCGGGCCUUGUACACACCGCCCGU
rnacentral:rRNA from 1 species